AUUGCACCGUUGCCUGCCAGUUGAGAAACACUAAUCCAAAUUCCUUACAUUGAUGAACUAUUAAUACAAAUAUACCUGCUGAAAAACUCUUAUGUCUAUACAAUGUUUGUAACAGUCCCUAAAUUAAUGAGUGAUUUAAAUAUUCAACAAAUGCUAAAUUCCAUUGCUUGUUCCUCUGUGAGUUCUAGCAGCUCAGCUGAACUUAAAGACACAUAGACACUAUAGGGAAGUGGGGAAUCUGUCACAGAACAUGUCGACGUUUUUUGAGUACCAGAUGUUUCAAAACCAUGGACCUACUUUUUUCAGAGUAACCAGAAAUUUGGCCUUCCACAGACUGGAUGAUGCCCACCCACAUUGGGGACACCACCUGCUUUAUUCCAUCCACCAAUCCACAUGCUAACCUCUUCUGGAAAGAUCCUCACAGAGUCAGCAACAAUGUCAGGAAACCCAACCAAGUAUUCAAGAGGCAUGCUCAGGACCCUGGAGAGACCAAUUUUGAUUUGUACCCUGCUAUUCCUGUGUGCGAAAGGGUCUUUCUUUCCAUGCUGGAUUGUUCUUAUGAAGUAAGUUGUGAACUCUAUUUACUUGAGUGAUAAAUGUCAUGAGAUAUUUGGACUAGCCAU